AGCAGCCGCGGUAAUUCCAGCUCCAAUAGCGUAUAUUAAAGUUGUUGCAGUUAAAAAGCUCGUAGUUGAAUUUCGGGAUCAAUAUGUUUGGUCGUGCCUCGGUACGUACUAGCUUAUUGGUUUCUCCUUUCUGAAGAACCAUGAUGUCAUUCAUUUGGUGUCGUGGGGAAUCAGGACUGUUACUUUGAAAAAAUUAGAGUGUUUAAAGCAGGCUCACGCUUGAAUACAUUAGCAUGGAAUAAUGAAAUAGGACGUUUGAUUCUAUUUUGUUGGUUUUCUAGGAUCGACGUAAUGAUUAAUAGGGAUAGUUGGGGGCAUUAGUAUUCAAUUGUCAGAGGUGAAAUUCUUGGAUUUAUUGAAGACUAACUACUGCGAAAGCAUUUGCCAAGGAUGUUUUCAUUAAUCAAGAACGAAAGUUAGGGGAUCGAAGACGAUCAGAUACCGUCGUAGUCUUAACCAUAAACUAUGCCGACUAG
rnacentral:rRNA from 1 species